ensembl:lncRNA PSMD14-DT PSMD14 divergent transcript
GCCAUCAGGAGGACUGAAACUGUAAACACAAGCUGGUAUUUUGGUGUGAUCACGCUAAUAUGGCGGUUUGUGAGGUCAAGGGGUGGAAGUUACAGGUAGGCAAUAUAUCUUUAACCAAAGUUGUGCUAGAUGGGGUCUUCAAGGUUAUUUGGAUUUUGAUGUACUAAGAAAAUAUCCUCAGUAGAAAAAUACCAGAAAUGGCAUUCCAACUCACCCUACCAAGGACAAGAAGCAGAUCAUUAGGAACAGAUAUAUUGGAGCUUGGCCCUGUAAAAACAUAGGAUAGCUAACAAAUACAUAAAAUUAGUUGUAUGGCCUCAUUUAUUCCUUCAUAGAGAUACAGCUCCUGGCAACCACCAUUCUACUUGAUGCCUCUAUGAAUCUGACUACUCUAGGUACCUCAGAUGAGUGGAAUUAUGCAGUAUUUGUCCUUUUGUGUGUACAACUAAUUUGACAGGCAGUAUGAUAAGGAACAAUCUGAAUGACACGUAAACAGGAGGGGGUAAAUUCCAAGCACAGCCUGAAUGAGAAGUACAACUCAUUUCCUGUAACCUAGAUGCCUUUUUAACACAUCUAUGCAGUCUCCAUGUGAAACCAGGUGCUGUUCCCAAAGGAGAAAACACUGCCCUCCAGUGGUCUUCAAUGAAGAAAUGGAAAUAGUUUCAGGUGGAAACCAGGCUUCUUGGAAGACUUCAAACUAUGCCAAAUGGUCUGAUUUCACCAUAGAGAAUGUUAUACUAUUAAUUGCCAAUUUGCAUAUGUGUGCAGCUGCUGUUUUGGCUCUGAACUCAAUCCGAUAAGCUUGCUGGAGGUAUCGCAGAGCACUUGGCAGCUUUCCUAUUUGAAAAGAAAGCCUCUCCCCUCUACAGAACAGCUGAUCGUCUAUCAGCGAUAGACCCUGAUGGCGUGAAUUACAAUUACACUACUUUUCACACUAAAUCUGGGUGAUAGCUACUUGGAAAGAAGUUUCAUCAUUUUUUACCACAAACUGGAAAAAGAAUUACAUGGUCAUGCUGUGCUUUUAAAGGCAGUUUGGUUCACUUUUGUCUAUUUAACACCUAAUUCCAAGAAGUCCAUAGGCAUCUAGAGAUCUGAA